rnacentral:lncRNA from 1 species
CCACAGGUGGACGGUCUCCGGGUGGAUGCAGCAGGAGGGAGCAGAUGGAGGGAAAGGAGCCGCCCCAGCACCUCGCAGGAGCUCAGCCCUUCCCCAGGCCAACAGGCCGGAAAGCCCAUUGGAUCAUUGAAUGUCAGAGUAGAAGAGACCACAGACAUCGAAUGAUCAGUUGAAAUAACAGUUUUUCAGCUGAAAAAAAGAGGAAUUCCAGAGUCUUUCAGUGAAGCUCACGGGUCUCACUGGUCCCUUGGCGGCGCCCUUCCCAGAGUUCUUUCAAGGUCUGUGACCCUCUCGAAGCCAGGUUCCGGGAGGGGUUUUUACCUUUGCCCGGUCCCUGGCAGUGCUGGAACUGCCGUCCGAUUCAUUUCAUCUCUCGAUUUGGCGGAGUAUUCGGAAGGGGCGAGAGAUGAGGCGUGAAGGGAGGGACGCGCGCGGCCACGCUCCCCGCAGGACGCGGCUCCGGACCCGGCGUCGGGGCUCCGCGGGACCCAGGUGUUCCCGAGGGGAAGAAACUGGCAGAAAGUGGACGCCUCCGCCCGCUGCCCCCCCCCCCCCACACACACACACAGGUAACGGCACCACAGCUGCCUUCCGCACACGCGGCUCCCGGCGCCAACGCCAACGCCUCCGCGCCCUCCGGGACCCUCCGACCCCGGCUCAAGCUCCUCCCCGCCCGCGGGCCCCGGCGGGAGCGGCGGCGGCGGCGGCGGGGAGCGGGGAGCGGGGAGCGGGCCGCGCUCGCUGCCAUUGGCUGUGCGGCCCGAGGGGCGGGGGCCCCGCAGUCCCGCCGGCUCCGCGGCCCCGGCUCCCGCCCGCCCUCCCGCAGCCGGUGCGCUCGAGCCCUGCGCUCCCCGGACGGCCGCGCGGGGGCGGGGCGCCGAGGCGGGGGCGGGGGCGGGGCGCGGCGGGGCGCGGGCGGGGCGCGGGCGGGGAGCUCAGCGCAGCUCCAGUCCGGGCCGGGCCGGCGCGCCGCGGGAGGGGAGGUCGCCGCGCGCGGGCUCGCAGGCUCCGCGGGUCGGCGGUCGCGAUCCUCGGGAGGACCCGGCGGGGCUGCGCAGGGCCGCGGCCCCGGGACGACCCGCUCCUGUCCCGGACACAGCCGGGAGGAUCUGCCCUCGCGAGCGCUGCUGCAAGCAUUGAUUCCGCCGUCAAGUGGUCGUCUGUCCCCUCCGGGCACUCCCCGCGUGCACUGCCGGCCUUGCACCUUCGCGCGCCCGCAGAGCCUUUGCACCCGUCUUAGGUGCUUCAAAUCCGGGCAGAAUGCUCUGAAGAGAUUGACACAUGUUCAUGGUUCUCAUUAAAGAAGCUUCAUGUAAG